rnacentral:rRNA from 1 species
CCCUUAGAUGUUCUGGGCCGCACGCGUGCUACACUGAGUGGAUCAGCGGGUCAGGUUGCGCGAAAGUGUUUCCUAAUCUUUAAAUCCGCUCGUGAUGGGGAUUGACGGUUGCAAUUUUCCGUCAUGAACGAGGAAUACCUUGUAAGCGCGGGUCAUCAUCCCGCGCUGAAUACGUCCCUGCCCUUUGUACACACCGCCCGUCGCUCCUACCGAUUGAGCGGUCCGGUGAGGCUUUGGGAUCUGAGCGGAAAGAGCGUUUCGCUGUUUCUGCCCGGAAAACUCAGUCGAACCUUAUCAUUUAGAGGAAGGAGAAGUCGUAACA